AAGUCGUAACAAGGUUUCCGUAGGUGAACCUGCGGAAGGAUCAUUAAACGUUACCCCCCGUGCACACAGCGACCUGCUCCCCUCAAUUUCGGUCUGGCAACUGGUAAAUCAUCGCCGAACAGUUUUGAUUCAGGGACUUUCAAAGGGCCGGGGUAGGGUAUUAAAGUAGUAGUCCAUGCAAAAGCGACCUGGUUUCUUUGAAGCAGAAAGUGUGAUGGCGUGAGCCGGAGAACGGACCGAGUGGUAGUUCGAAGGUGCCUUCUGUCGCGCACUGAGGAAAGGAAGACGUUUUACGAAUCACUGUCCAACACGGCCAGUGACCGGGUUCCUGGUCCUAGACCCCAUAUUCACCACCACAGUCGCAGACGAGGUAGGGAUACGUCCCUACCACCAAAUAAAGACUUGAACAACUGUUAACAAUGGAUACCUUGGUUCUC
rnacentral:misc_RNA from 1 species